rnacentral:rRNA from 1 species
CAGUCGCCACGGGAAUACGUAGGUGGCAAGCGUUGUCCGGAAUUAUUGGGCGUAAAGGGCUCGCAGGCGGUUUCUUAAGUCUGAUGCGAAAGCCCCCGGCUCAACCGGGGAGGGUCAUUGGAAACUGGGAAACUUGAGUGCAGAAGAGGAGAGUGGAAUUCCACGUGUAGCGGUGAAAUGCGUAGAGAUGUGGAGGAACACCAGUGGCGAAGGCGACUCUCUGGUCUGUAACUGACGCUGAGGAGCGAAAGCGUGGGGAGCGAACAGGAUUAGAUACCCCAGUAGUCCCUGUCUCUUAUAA